rnacentral:rRNA from 1 species
AGUGAACGCUGGCGGUAGGCCUAACACAUGCAAGUCGAACGGCAGCACAGUAAGAGCUUGCUCUUACGGGUGGCGAGUGGCGGACGGGCGAGGAAUACAUCGGAAUCUACUUUUUCGUGGGGGAUAACGUAGGGAAACUUACGCUAAUACCGCAUACGACCUACGGGUGAAAGCAGGGGAUCUUCGGACCUUGCGCGAUUGAAUGAGCCGAUGUCGGAUUAGCUAGUUGGCGGGGUAAAGGCCCACCAAGGCGACGAUCCGUAGCUGGUCUGAGAGGAUGAUCAGCCACACUGGAACUGAGACACGGUCCAGACUCCUACGGGAGGCAGCAGUGGGGAAUAUUGGACAAUGGGCGCAAGCCUGAUCCAGCCAUACCGCGUGGGUGCAGAAGGCCUUCGGGUUGUAAAGCCCUUUUGUUGGGAAAGAAAAGCAGCAGGUUAAUACCCCGCUGUUCUGACGGUACCCAAAGAAUAAGCACCGGCUAACUUCGUG